rnacentral:rRNA from 1 species
AAGACCUUUGCGCUUUUGGAGCGGCCGAUGCCUGAUUAGCUAGUUGGUGGGGUAAUGGCCUACCAAAGCUUCGACCAGUAGCUGGUCUGAGAGGACGGCCAGCCACACUGGGACUGAGACACGGCCCAGACUCCUACGGGAGGCAGCAGUGGGGAAUUUUGGACAAUGGGGGAAACCCUGAUCCAGCCAUGCCGCGUGAGUGAAGAAGGCCUUCGGGUUGUAAAGCUCUUUCAGCCGGAACGAAACGGUUACGGAUAAUACCCGUGACUACUGACGGUACCGGAAGAAGAAGCACCGGCUAACUACGUGCCAGCAGCCGCGGUAAUACGUAGGGUGCGAGCGUUAAUCGGAAUUACUGGGCGUAAAGCGUGCGCAGGUGGUUUUGUAAGUCAGAUGUGAAAGCCCCGGGCUCAACCUGGGAACU